UCUACAGACACACAACAUUGUUCCAAUGAAAAGUUUUGUCCUAUAAUCUUUUGUCAAAUUGGAAUAACUUUCGUGUUCACACUUGUUGUUCAGUUCUCUUGGUUCUGUCACUGAAGAAAUGCUGUCACUGUCUAUGGCGGUCUCGUUCAACAGUUUAAUAACGUUGCACUACAUUGCUCUUUAAAACUGUGCACAAGAGAGCAAGCGAAUUAAUGAUUUCAGUUUCAAUUUAUCUCUGAAAAGGACAGAUAAGAAUUGCCGCGAGCAGCCGGUAUACUAGUGUGAUGCCCCAAUUGUUGGUCCGUCACAAUUGAUGUAUUUAAUAUAUUCUCUGUAUGUGAAAAUACAUUGAAGGAAUGGUGGUUCUGCCAGACCAGUAGAGGGCGCUAUGUGAGUGCAGUGUGUUGUUAUGGGUCUGCUGCGUUGAUCGACCGUCAUAACCCAGCAAGACCGGAGCUUAUCACACGCACAUUUUUGUCCUGUCUUUAUUCCACAGGUUGCUGGGAACGCUUAACUGUCAGCUUAUACGGAGGUCCUGUACCCGCUACACUAGAAUCACUCUCAGUAUUAUAAACAGCAAAACAGAAGUGAUUUUAGAUGGUUUAUAGUCAGGUGAACAACACACCACAGCAGGAAGUAGAGGCCUUUACUGAGCCAAAGCUGAGGGACCCAUUUGCACAGUGAAAAGAAUGAAGAGAAGAAAAACUGAGAUUUGCAGAUCCAUCUUUGAUCAGGAGAAUGUAAUACUGCACCUGCUUCAGUGCUCAUUUAUAUCUUAUCAAAAGGGGAGGAUCUUCAUGAGAAAAUGAAAGUUUAAUAGAAAAACAAUGAAAUAAAAGUCAAGUCAAGUCA